rnacentral:rRNA from 1 species
GACGAACGCUGGCGGCGUGCUUAACACAUGCAAGUCGAACGGAAAGGCCCUGCUUUUGUGGGGUGCUCGAGUGGCGAACGGGUGAGUAACACGUGAGUAACCUGCCCUUGACUUUGGGAUAACUUCAGGAAACUGGGGCUAAUACCGGAUAGGAGCUCCUGCUGCAUGGUGGGGGUUGGAAAGUUUCGGCGGUUGGGGAUGGACUCGCGGCUUAUCAGCUUGUUGGUGGGGUAGUGGCUUACCAAGGCUUUGACGGGUAGCCGGCCUGAGAGGGGGAACGGCCACAUUGGGACUGAGAUACGGCGCAGACGCCUACGGGAGGCAGCAGGGGAGAAUAUUGCACAAUGGGCGGAAGCCUGAUGCAGCAACGCCGCGUGCGGGAUGACGGCCUUCGGGUUGUAAACCGCUUUCGCCUGUGACGAAGCGUGAGUGACGGUAAUGGGUAAAGAAGCACCGGCUAACUACGUG